AAAGCAGGAGCCCUCCUUGGCAGUGCUUGGGUGUCGGGGCUCUGAGGCUCCGGCCUGACCUCUUCACGGGGUCGACGGGAUCGUCUCCGGAUGCCAGGAGUCCCAAAGGGCCGACCAGGAUGAGGAAACCCCAGGCGGAGUCCGGGGGAAGCAGCACGGCAUCCCAGCCUCAGGCCUGCCCGGACGGUGAUGGUUGGGGUAAGAUUGGGGAAGAUGCCAGGUGAUAGAAUCCACCCUGCCUCUGACAGCAUCCAAUCUGGAGCAAAGGCUUCUUUCAACCUUCCCCCAAGCUCCCAAUACAAGCCCAAAUUCUGGAACAAGUCCUUUCCAACACCUCCUUCAGAGAAGCUCCCUGGCUCCAGGCAGUGCUUGCUCCCCUCACUGCAGCAGGAAGCCUAACUUGCGAACUGCAGGUGUGCUCCAGGUGGUCACUGGAUGCAAGAAAUGGUGCGAGAACUUUGGAUGUGGAACGUGGAGGAGGAGGAACACGAAGUGGGGAUCUGCACUUGGGGUGGUCAGCACUGCGGAUGCCCAGCAAAGUCACUGCCUGGUCCACAUCCCGGAGGGGUCUCUGCGCCUCAGUCGGCAUCGCAGCUGAUGGUGAAACUUUUGGUGUGGCAGAAGAGUGUCCACAAACUUCGGAAGAACAGAAACGCCUACAGUUGCGGCCCCCUGUAGUGCAAUUUGUGUCAGUCUAGGGAGAGUGGAUUUGGAGCCCAACCACCAUUGAGGAAAAUCCAUCUGACGGACAUGAGCCUCACUCAGGUUCUCAUCUACUUCCUUGGGGUCUGCCCCGCCUCCCUCAGAAGUUUGGAACCACAUACUGUUCUGGAGGGGACCUCUCACUGCUGCAGAACCUGUCCUCCAGGAUACCGACAAGUGUUCAUCUCGGUCGUGGCUAAUUAACUUACCAUAUGGUAGUGAACUCCCUUCUGGGGCCCCAAUAUUUUGUUUAUUUUUAAAAAAUAAAAUUAGUACCAUUGUUUAUUUUC
rnacentral:lncRNA from 10 species